GACCCCGGAGGUCCACAUCCGACAGCGCGAUGCGCCCUCGGAUGCCGCGAUC
rfam:Rhizobiales bacterium 63-22 SCNpilot_cont_500_bf_scaffold_293, whole genome shotgun sequence.